UGGCAGGGUGAUUGCUAUGCGGUUCACACACCAGUCUUGCCAGAUGCAGACCCCCAAAGUUUGCCUGUGAUUGGCCAGCAGGGGAAAGGAGAGAGAGAGACCUGCAUCUGCACUCUACUCACGUCACCUUACUCUGCGCAGCAACACUACAAGGGCUGACGUCAAAUGCACCUCCUUCACUGAAGGCAAACGUUGGCAGUGAAUGAGAAUGAGAUGGAUGCAGGUGCCUUGGGAAUAAAAGAAGAAGGAAAGAGUCAAACCUAGAGCUGAUUUGGUAAACAGGACGCGAGAGUGGUACCAGAAUGAGUAAAUAGGUUGCAUGUACAUACUGAGAGAAGUACAAGAGAUAGAAGUGUGCAAUUGUUUUGUAUAAUCUUCUACAUAUGUGAAAGACGUUCCCGAUUACCUUCUCUCUUUACUACUCCACAUGACAGCAUCAAACACCACAUUUUCUAUUCAUUCCUCAUUCAUUCAUUCCUUAUCAGUAUGUGCUGAAGCAACAAAUACUGUAUCACAACAAUUCAUCUCUAAACAGCAUUAUCAUAUACACACGUGACACAUCUGAAGAUCCAUGCUCAUCAACCACUCGAAAAGUGCUAUUAUAGAAAUGAACAAGAAAGAAUAAAAAUAUUACCAAGUCUUACCAUUGGCUGCCCUCUCCCCUCCCUGAUGGAUAUUUAUACUUCCCGUUGCCUCAGCAGAGGAAAAACUAUCAUUAAGGACAGUUCUCACCCUGGCUUUGAUCUGUUCAAUCUGUUGCCCUCAGGGAGACGUUACAGGUGCAUCAAAACAAGGACUAGUAGAUUUAAGAAUAGUUUCUUCCCAAAAGCUAUUACCAUGAUAAAUAAACACAUGUACUGAGUCCACAGCAUAUGUAUAUAUUGUCUCAAACUGUGCAAUUCAUAGUACCUCCGCCAUCCACCCAAAUAUCUAUCUAUCGUGCAUAUAUCUUGCAUAUAUUGUAUAUCUUGUUUAUUUAUUUUGUUUAUUUAUCUUAUUUAUUUAUCUGUGUAUUAUCUGUUUAUUCUUCUUGUGUAUUGAAUGUAUAUGUUUGCACGGAACAAAAAGGAGUGGCUCUUAAUUUCAUUGUACAUAUGUAUAGUGACAAUAAAAGGCAUUCAUUCAUU